UCCUACGGGAGGCAGCAGUGAGGAAUAUUGGGCAAUGGGCGAAAGCCUGACCCAGCCAUGCCGCGUGCAGGAAGACGGCUCUAUGAGUUGUAAACUGCUUUUACUCGGGAAGAAUAAGGGUUACGUGUAACCCGAUGACGGUACCGAAAGAAUAAGGAUCGGCUAACUCCGUGCCAGCAGCCGCGGUAAUACGGAGGAUGCGAGCGUUAUCCGGAAUUAUUGGGUUUAAAGGGUCCGCAGGCGGACAGGUAAGUCAGUAGUGAAAAACCGGGGCUUAACCCCGGUCGUGCUACAGAAACUGCCUGACUAGAGAAAGUUUGGCGUUGGCGGAAUGUGACAAGUAGCGGUGAAAUGCAUAGAUAUGUCACAGAACACCGAUAGCGAAAGCAGCUGACGAAGACUAUUCUGACGCUCAGGGACGAAAGCGUGGGGAGCAAACAGGAUUAGAUACCCUGGUAGUCCACGCAGUAAACGAUGGGUACCAUCUUUUUGUCCGCAAGGAUGAGAGGAUCAUCGAAAGAGAUAAGUACCCCACCUGGGGAGUACGUGCGCAAGCAUGAAACUCAAAGGAAUUGACGGGGGCCCGCACAAGCGGUGGAGCAUGUGGUUUAAUUCGAUGAUACGCGAGGAACCUUACCGGGGUUUAAAUGGGAUCUGAAUAAUCUGGAAACAGGUUAGCCGCAAGGCAGAUUUCAAGGUGCUGCAUGGUUGUCGUCAGCUCGUGCCGUGAGGUGUUAGGUUAAGUCCUGCAACGAGCGCAACCCCCAUGAUCCGUUACUAACAGGUGAUGCUGAGGACUCAGAUCAGACUGCCGGCGAUAAGCCGGAGGAAGGAGGGGAUGACGUCAAAUCAUCACGGCCCUUACAUCCCGGGCCACACACGUGCUACAAUGGCCG
rnacentral:rRNA from 1 species